UACGGAGGGGGGCUAGCGUUGUUCGGAAUUACUGGGCGUAAAGCGCACGCAGGUGGCUGAGUCAGUCGAUUGUGAAAGCCCUGGGCUUAACCUGGGAAUUGCAGUCGAUACUACUCAGCUAGAGUAUGGGAGAGGGUAGUGGAAUUCCCGGUGUAGUGGUGAAAUGCGUAGAUAUCGGGAGGAACAUCAGUGGCGAAGGCGGCUACCUGGCCCAAUACUGACACUCAGGUGCGACAGCGUGGGGAGCAAACAGG
rnacentral:rRNA from 1 species